rnacentral:rRNA from 1 species
GACGAACGCUGGCGGCGUGCCUAAUACAUGCGAGUCGAACGCUUCUUUCCUCCCGAGUGCUUGCACUCCAUUGGAAAGAGGAGUGGCGGACGGGUGAGUAACACGUGGGUAACCUACCCAUCAGAGGGGGAUAACACUUGGAAACAGGUGCUAAUACCGCAUACCAGUUUAUGCCGCAUGGCAUAAGAGGGAAAGGCGCUUUCGGGUGUCGCUGAUGGAUGGACCCGCGGCUCAUUAGCUAGUUGGUGAGGUAACGGCUCACCAAGGCGACGAUGCAUAGCCGACCUGAGAGGGCCACCGGCCACACUGGGACUGAGACACGGUCCAGACUACUACGGGAGGAAGCAGUGGGGAAUCUUCGCCAAUGGGCGAAAGCCUGACGGAGCAAUGCCGAGUGAGUGAUGAAGGUCUUCGGAUCGUAAAACGCUGUUAUUAGGGAAGAACAAGUGUGUAAGUAAAUCUGCACGUCAUGACGGUACCUAAUCAGAAAGCCCCGGCUAACUACGUG